rfam:Pseudomonas fluorescens F113, complete genome.
CGCGGGAUGGAGCAGUCUGGUAGCUCGUCGGGCUCAUAACCCGAAGGUCGUCGGUUCAAAUCCGGCUCCCGCAA